UAAUACAUGCAAGUCGAACGCGUUGGCCCAAUUGAUUGACGGUGCUUGCACCUGAUUGAUUUUGGUCGCCAACGAGUGGCGGACGGGUGAGUAACACGUAGGUAACCUGCCCAGAAGCGGGGGACAACAUUUGGAAACAGAUGCUAAUACCGCAUAACAGCGUUGUUCGCAUGAACAACGCUUAAAAGAUGGCUUCUCGCUAUCACUUCUGGAUGGACCUGCGGUGCAUUAGCUUGUUGGUGGGGUAACGGCCUACCAAGGCGAUGAUGCAUAGCCGAGUUGAGAGACUGAUCGGCCACAAUGGGACUGAGACACGGCCCAUACUCCUACGGGAGGCAGCAGUAGGGAAUCUUCCACAAUGGGCGCAAGCCUGAUGGAGCAACACCGCGUGAGUGAAGAAGGGUUUCGGCUCGUAAAGCUCUGUUGUUAAAGAAGAACACGUAUGAGAGUAACUGUUCAUACGUUGACGGUAUUUAACCAGAAAGUCACGGCUAACUACGUGCCAGCAGCCGCGGUAAUACGUAGGUGGCAAGCGUUAUCCGGAUUUAUUGGGCGUAAAGAGAGUGCAGGCGGUUUUCUAAGUCUGAUGUGAAAGCCUUCGGCUUAACCGGAGAAGUGCAUCGGAAACUGGAUAACUUGAGUGCAGAAGAGGGUAGUGGAACUCCAUGUGUAGCGGUGGAAUGCGUAGAUAUAUGGAAGAACACCAGUGGCGAAGGCGGCUACCUGGUCUGCAACUGACGCUGAGACUCGAAAGCAUGGGUAGCGAACAGGAUUAGAUACCCUGGUAGUCCAUGCCGUAAACGAUGAGUGCUAGGUGUUGGAGGGUUUCCGCCCUUCAGUGCCGGAGCUAACGCAUUAAGCACUCCGCCUGGGGAGUACGACCGCAAGGUUGAAACUCAAAGGAAUUGACGGGGGCCCGCACAAGCGGUGGAGCAUGUGGUUUAAUUCGAAGCUACGCGAAGAACCUUACCAGGUCUUGACAUCUUGCGCCAACCCUAGAGAUAGGGCGUUUCCUUCGGGAACGCAAUGACAGGUGGUGCAUGGUCGUCGUCAGCUCGUGUCGUGAGAUGUUGGGUUAAGUCCCGCAACGAGCGCAACCCUUGUUACUAGUUGCCAGCAUUAAGUUGGGCACUCUAGUGAGACUGCCGGUGACAAACCGGAGGAAGGUGGGGACGACGUCAGAUCAUCAUGCCCCUUAUGACCUGGGCUACACACGUGCUACAAUGGACGGUACAACGAGUCGCGAACUCGCGAGGGCAAGCAAAUCUCUUAAAACCGUUCUCAGUUCGGACUGCAGGCUGCAACUCGCCUGCACGAAGUCGGAAUCGCUAGUAAUCGCGGAUCAGCAUGCCGCGGUGAAUACGUUCCCGGGCCUUGUACACACCGCCCGUCACACCAUGAGAGUUUGUAACACCCAAAGUCGGUGGGGUAACCUUUUAGGAGCCA
rnacentral:rRNA from 1 species